rnacentral:ncRNA from 1 species
GAAAGCUGUAUGCCUUGAGAAAGGCUUGUCCAGUUUGGGAAGAGACCUUUUUUUUUAAUGUAAAUAAAAAAAGUCUACUUCAAC